GGGUACGGGGUGUUAGGGCACGACACCGGAGAGGGAGCCUGAGAAACGGCUACCACAUCCAAGGAUGGCAGCAGGCGCGCAAAUUACCCAAUCCCGACACGGGGAGGUAGUGACAAUAAAUAACAAUACGGGGUUCUUUAGGAUCUCGUAAUUGGAAUGAGUACAAUUUAAAUCUCUUAACGAGGAACCAUUUGGAGGGCAAGUCUGGUGCCAGCAGCCGCGGUAAUUCCAGCUCCAAUAGCGUAUAUUAAAGUUGUUGCAGUUAAAAAGCUCGUAGUUGAAUUUCGGGGUUAGUAGGUUGGUCAUGCCUCUGGUAUGUACUGGUCUCACUGAUUCCUCCUUCCUGAUGAGCCGUAAUGCCAUUAAUUUGGUGUUGCGGGGAAUUUGGACUGUUACUUUGAAAAAAUUAGAGUGUUUAAAGCAAGCUAACGCUUGAAUACAUUAGCAUGGAAUAAUGAAAUAGGACGUUCGAUCCUAUUUUGUUGGUUUCUAGGAUUGACGUAAUGAUUAAUAGGGAUAGUUGGGGGCAUUAAUAUUCAAUUGUCAGAGGUGAAAUUCUUGGAUUUAUUGAAGACUAACUACUGCGAAAGCAUUUGCCAAGGAUGUUUUCAUUAAUCAAGAACGAAAGUUAGGGGAUCGAAGACGAUCAGAUACCGUCGUAGUCUUAACCAUAAACUAUGCCGACUAGGGAUCGGAUGAUGUUAAUUUUUUAAUGACUCAUCGGCGCCUUACGGGAACCUG
rnacentral:rRNA from 1 species